rnacentral:sRNA from 1 species
ACACUUCCUGCAUAUAUAAGCCCGAGGUGGAAACUUCCGGAUUUCGACGGCCGAAGGUUUGGCAUUUUGAUGUGAUUUAGUACAAGUCUGUCAGGUUUUGCUGUAUGGGAACGUUUGCGUGCAUACAAUAUCGUUACAUUGCACUUAAAAACGGAACAAGUGUGGUUUUGUCACAGCUAGCUUUCAACAUUUCUUAUAAAACUCACUUCAAUGAAGGAUUGAUGAAAGCUAAAGUUGAUUCCAAGAAAGAAUACAGUUAAAAGAGAAAGCUGCUUAUAUAAACGGUUUUGAUGGUAUAAUAUGCACCCAGGAAGUUGAAGAAAGUAUUGAAAACCAGUCCAACAAAUACAAGUCUGAAUGAAAACAGUUUUUAUGUACAAUGCACACCCGAAAUACAUGUAGUCGGACACAAUUUUUUUCUCAUGAAAUGUGAAGUUGUUGAUAAUAGGUCUUGUUUUCCAAUAUUGAAGAAAUAUGUAAUAAUAGUUUGCAGAGCAAUUAUAAACAAACAUGUCCCC